GACGAACGCUGGCGGCGUGCUUAACACAUGCAAGUCGAACGAAGUGGCGAACGGGUGAGUAACGCGUAAUCAACCUGCCCUUCAGCGGGGGACAACAGCUGGAAACGACUGCUAAUACCGCAUACUGAAGGAGGGGAUUGCGUAUGAUUAGCUAGUUGGAGGGGUAACGGCCCAGCAAGUCGAGGAUCAGUAGACGGUGUGAGAGGAUGAAAGGCCAAAGUGGGACUGAGACACGGCACAGACACCUACGGGAGGAAGCAGUGGGGAAUCUUCGGCGAUGGACGAAAGUCUGACGGAACAAAGCCGCGAGAGUGAUGACGGCCUUCGGGUUGUAAAGCUCUGUUAAUCGGGAAGCGGUAACGAAAUAGAAAGCCACGGCUAACUACGUGCCAGCAGCCGCGGUAAUUG
rnacentral:rRNA from 1 species